ACCAGCAUGUUCUCCUAUGGAACACGAAGUACCUGAAGUGGAAUGAAGAAGCCCAUGUUUGAGGCCUGCGCCCUGGCGGGAGCAUUGAAGGGGCAUCUGACAGGUUACACAACGCGUUGCUGAUCUAUCCAGGACGGCUUCAGGAUGGACUAUAAGAAGGAGGUUCAGUCCCGAUUGGGUCCGGCGCAACCUCAGGGAGUACAUAUACAGCGGCCUUGGUUUACGACGACGCACAAUGGCACAAAGAAGAACUAAGAGCAGCACUCUGGAGACUGAACAACCUCCUGAUGCGGAAAAUGAAUGGAUCGC